CUAGCUUUAAUCCCAGUGCUGCUCACAGUCAGUUUUGCAGGUCUUGCAUCGGCCUAUGUCAAUUGCUGUGCAAAUCCAUGCAAAACUGAUUAGGAGGGCAUUUGCAUCUGCACUUUUGG
rnacentral:precursor_RNA from 15 species